GCGGCGGGCAGCGUGCAGCGGUGAUGUCAACAACAUCGAAACAAAUGAACCAUGAUCACCACCGAGGCUGCGAGAGAGCUGCAGGCCAAAGAGCGCAGAUACAAAGAGCAGCUGAAGAGAUGUUUAUCCUCUGCCUUAUCUGCAGACCUUAACAGCGAAGACAAACCAGAAGAGACCAGCACGUUUGACGAAGUGGGGAGGCUGAGGGAGUGAGAGGAGCGGCUGGUUUGUCAGAUUUCCUAAAUGAGUUUUGAAUCGGACCAUAAAUACUGACACAGUGUCUGUUCCCCUGACAAUGACAGGAAGCUUGUUCAGAAGGGAGGAGGUCAUAGAGGAAAAGGCUCUGCCCCCCGAUGUUUCAAAUGUGAGGAGGAACAACAGCUAUUUGUUUUUGGAUGAAUAAAUAUAAACUCCUCAAACAAGUGAGGAAAGUUUUCACAUUUUGCUACUCAGUGCUACACUUUAUUGUUCAAGGAUAUACUUGUACUCAAGUAUUUCAACUUUAUGUGACUUCAUUC